rnacentral:rRNA from 1 species
GAUGAACGCUGGCGGCGUGCCUAAUACAUGCAAGUCGAGCGAACGGACGAGAAGCUUGCUUCUCUGAUGUUAGCGGCGGACGGGUGAGUAACACGUGGAUAACCUACCUAUAAGACUGGGAUAACUUCGGGAAACCGGAGCUAAUACCGGAUAAUAUUUUGAACCGCAUGGUUCAAAAGUGAAAGACGGUCUUGCUGUCACUUAUAGAUGGAUCCGCGCUGCAUUAGCUAGUUGGUAAGGUAACGGCUUACCAAGGCAACGAUGCAUAGCCGACCUGAGAGGGUGAUCGGCCACACUGGAACGGAGACACGGUCCAGACUCCUACGGGAGGCAGCAGUAGGGAACCGUCCGCAAUGGGCGAAAGCCUGACGGAGCAACGCCGCGUGAGUGAUGAAGGUCUUCGGAGCGUAAAACUCUGUUAUUAGGGAAGAACAUAUGUGUAAGUAACUGUGCACAUCUUGACGGUACCUAAUCAGAAAGCCACGGCUAACUACGUG